CGAGUACCCGUACGAUAACCGAAGUUAAGCAACGUCGAACUUGGUUAGUACCUAGAUGGGUGACCACUUGGGAAUACCAGGUGUAGUAA